GAUGAACGCUGGCGGCGUGCUUAACACAUGCAAGUCGAGCGGAGAUAUAUGAAGUGCUUGCACUUCAUAUAUCUUAGCGGCGGACGGGUGAGUAACGUGUGGGCAACCUGCCCCGUACAGGGGGAUAAUCACUUGAAAAGGUGACUAAUACCCCAUGUCAUCCCACCGGCGCAUGCCGGAGGGAGAAAAGGAUUUAUCCGGUACGGGAUGGGCCCGCAUCUGAUUAGCUAGUUGGUGAGAUAACAGCCCACCAAGGCAACGAUCAGUAGCCGACCUGAGAGGGUGAUCGGCCACAUUGGGACUGAGACACGGCCCAAACUCCUACGGGAGGCAGCAGUGGGGAAUAUUGCACAAUGGGCGAAAGCCUGAUGCAGCAACGCCGCGUGAAGGAAGAAGGGUUUCGGCUCGUAAACUCCUAUCGACAGGGAAGAAAGAAAUGACGGUACCUGAAUAAGAAGCCCCGGCUAACUACGUGCCAGCAGCCGC
rnacentral:rRNA from 1 species